CUGAAGUUCGAGUCCAGAAUGAUUCAGUCUAACAUUGUCUCUCCUCCUGUAGCGGCACCUUUUUUCUGGCCUGAUACGUGCCGGUGCCAAGCUGAAGGAGCUGGACCUGAGUGACAAUGCCCUUGGCCCCGUGGGGGUGGAGGGCAUGGUUGGACUUCAUGUCGUUCCCCCGUCUGCUAUUCCCUGCAGGAGCUGAGACUAAACAACAAUGGACUUGGCAUUAAGGGAGGUACUAUGCUUGCUGAGUCUCUUAUGAGGCUGGUGGAAAUGCAAAAGCUGCUGGAACUCCACUAGCUCUUAAGGUAUUUAUAGCUGGUCGCAACAGGCUUGAGAAGGAAGGUGCAAAAGGUUUUUGCAAAAUUCUUCAAGGCUGUAGGCACUUUGGAAGAAGUUGCCAUGCCUCAGAAUGGCAUCUUCCAUGGGGAU